CUGUCCCUAGAGGAGUUGGAAUAGUUUUAAGUUCUAUCCUCCUGUCUCAUGGGUGCAGUUUAUUUUGAUUGUCAUUUUCACAUGGAUCUAAAGAAAUGCCUCAUACUAGAGAUUUGAUUCCUUACGUCAUGUAUAGAGGCCUAGCCUAUCUGCAAUACCAAGUCCUGGAAUGGGAUAUUGUUUUAUAAAUGAACUAAUUUAUUCUCAGUUCUAAGAGAUGACUAAAGAAGAUAUAGGACAAUAUGCUUAAAUUUGCUCUUUUUUCUAUCUUAAAUUAUCUUUCUAAAUCUUUAUCAGUAGCAACCUCUAAUUCAAAUUUCUCUAAAGUUAACAGCUUGGGUUUUAAUAUGUGAAGCUUAAGUUUCAGAGUGGGAAUGAAGGAAAUUAAAAUAUUUUACUCUGAACUAUAUUUCUUUGACAUGUUUUGAAAUGGUUAACACUUGGCCAUUUUGACAAAAUGGCCUUGCAAAACUCUCUUAACUGGAAAAAAAAAUUGCAUCUAUAGAGAAUCUCCAAUAAUGCAGAAAUGCCCCCUUCCCCUUUUUAUUUCUUUCCCUAGAUCCAGGAAAGAUUGAGAGUUUGAUGCCCUUUAAAGUCUAAAAAGAAACAUUUAUUAUCUAUUCUCUCUAAGGGAGAUUUCACCUACAUAACAAGGCCACCUGGCUUACCCAGCUUCUUCCUUUCUCUAUUAACUUGUCUUGCCACUGAACUUGAUUUACCUGUUUCUGGCUAUGUUCUGAUUCUGCAUACUUUAAUUGCCUCAGGAUGAUACAUAAAUUUCUGUAAGUUACUGAGAAGUUGAGUCUUAAUUCUGAAGACUCCUAUGCAUAUAUUUUAAAUAAAUUUGUAUGACUUUUCUUCUAUUAAUCAAUCUGCCUUAUGUCAAUAAUUUUUAGGGAAACUACAUGGGGCCAAGAGCCUAUGGCCACCAAAAAUCAACAUCACCUUGUUCUUGCUUUUAAGCCUAUUCUCAAGCUUCAGUAAAUCUUGUUAAAUGCAAUUCUGUAACUGGGUCCUGGGACACAGGGGAAAGCAGAGAGCAUGGAGGCAUCCAGAAGAGGCUUCCAAUUCCCUGAUCAGGAGGGGGACACACUGAGCUCCCUCCCCAUCCAAUUCUUUUCCUGAUGUGUCAGAGGUUCCCACAAAUGGGGAAGAGGCCCUGGUGGCACAGUGAGCUUGCCAAUCAAGUAAAUACUGAACCCAAAGAGUUUUGCGGAGAGCGAUUUACUAGGCAGAGAGAGAAAGAGAAGACAGAAAGACACAGAGACAGAGAAGAAUCU